CAGCGCAGCCCGGACAGGGGAAAUUCCAUGGACAGAGGAACCUGGCAGACUAUAGUCCAUGGGGCUGCAAAGAGUCGGACACAACUUGGCGUCUAAACAGCAACAACAACAGGUGAUGCUGGCCAUCUUGUUGUCUUUGAGACAGACGCACUCAGGCUAAAGACAUUUCCUUGGAUGUUUGAUGUUUAAUCAGUUGUGGGCCCUUAUGGAGGGUUUCCCCACCCACUUCCUCAUCCAGGUCUUUUGGCUUGGGCCUAUUGAUGCUACUUGGGCCCACUUGGACAGUUUCCUCACCCCGCUCAGCUUCAUCUAUUGGUACUAACCGUCCUGAACAGGGUGGCUCAGUGGUAAAGAAUCUGCUUGCGAAUACAGAAGACUUGGGUUUGAUUCCUGGAUGGGGAAGAGCUGCUGGAGAAGGAAAUGGCUACCCUCUCCAGUAUUCUUGCCUGGGAAAUCCCAUGGACAGAGGAGACUGGCGGGCUACAGUCCAUGGGGUCACAAAGAGUUGGACACGACUGAGCGACUAAACAACAACAGCAUAUAAUAUUUACUAUUUGGUGUUCUGUCUUUUAAAAAAUAAUUCUAAUCAAUCUAUAUGUAAUUAUUAUUAUCCCACUUUCCAGAUAUUGAAACUGAGCCUCCAGAACCAAGAAAACACAGCUUUCAUGUAAUGAAGCCAGGAUUCAAAUCCACUAAUGUAGACAUCCAACCCCGCUUUGUCCAAGCUAAUUCUAGAGACACCAUCCCAGGUCCUCUGGGAUGUGUUCCUUUGGGAAUUUCCCUGAGCCUAGGCCUGGGCCCCAUGUUCCCCCCUGCCCUUUUUUUUUUCUUUUUUUUGGUUUGUUUUUUUUUUGUGGGGGGACAGAAAUCAGUCUUUUUUAAAACAAAUAUUUAUUUUUUACAUUGAAAGAUAAUUGCUUUACAGAAUUUUGUUGGUUUCUUCACAUUUGUUAAUCUGCAGGAGGA
rnacentral:lncRNA from 1 species